GUUCCAGCUUGUCCCUUUUCUGGUGGCCAUCUCCUAGCUCUAGGGCUGACUGCCCUGGGAACUUCCCAAGACCUCUGUGUGGGAAGAGGGGUUGUUGAGGUGUGUGGAACUAGAGUCUGGCUGUCUGGGCUGGAACUUGCACGGGCUCUCUGCAUUGCCCUCCCAACCCCGCUCCCAGCUCCCAUCGUGCCUGGUCCAGGACUGUAACUGAACAACUCAGGGGCCUUCACCUGGCCCAAGAACAGUUUUCCUAUCUGCCCUACUGGCAGUCACUGGGCGUCUAAAAGCCACUAAGCUGCCAAGGCUGGCUGGUGCCCCUUCUUUCACUCCCUGCCCCCAUUGGCAAGCCAUGCCCUGUGGUUUCUCUUGAGUGGAUUUGACAGGACUUGCCAAGCCGGCAGGGAUUUCCCAUUGUGGAGGCAACCUCCAAGGUGACAGAGCAAGCUAGUGUUGAAGUGCCCUCAAGGGAGGAUCUAGCCCAGACCCCUCAUUGUGUGAUUUAGCUGCUUCUGUGGGGAACAGAUGGACAUGG